rnacentral:rRNA from 1 species
GCUGGCGGCAGGCCUAACACAUGCAAGUCGAGCGGUAGAGAGAAGCUUGCUUCUCUUGAGAGCGGCGGACGGGUGAGUAAUGCCUAGGAAUCUGCCUGGUAGUGGGGGAUAACGUUCGGAAACGGACGCUAAUACCGCAUACGUCCUACGGGAGAAAGCAGGGGACCUUCGGGCCUUGCGCUAUCAGAUGAGCCUAGGUCGGAUUAGCUAGUUGGUGAGGUAAUGGCUCACCAAGGCGACAAUCCGUAACUGGUCUGAGAGGAUGAUCAGUCACACUGGAACUGAGACACGGUCCAGACUCCUACGGGAGGCAGCAGUGGGGAAUAUUGGACAAUGGGCGAAAGCCUGAUCCAGCCAUGCCGCGUGUGUGAAGAAGGUCUUCGGAUUGUAAAGCACUUUAAGUUGGGAGGAAGGGUUGUAGAUUAAUACUCUGCAAUUUUGACGUUACCGACAGAAUAAGCACCGGCUAACUCUGUGCCAGCAGCCGCGGUAAUACAGAGGGUGCAAGCGUUAAUCGGAAUUACUGGGCGUAAAGCGCGCGUAGGUGGUUUGUUAAGUUGGAUGUGAAAUCCCCGGGCUCAACCUGGGAACUGCAUUCAAAACUGACUGACUAGAGUAUGGUAGAGGGUGGUGGAAUUUCCUGUGUAGCGGUGAAAUGCGUAGAUAUAGGAAGGAACACCAGUGGCGAAGGCGACCACCUGGACUAAUACUGACACUGAGGUGCGAAAGCGU